GACGUAGGGCGCGAGCGUUGUCCGGAUUUAUUGGGCGUAAAGAGCUCGUAGGCGGUUUGUCGCGUCUGCUGUGAAAACUCGGGGCUUAACCCCGGGCCUGCAGUGGGUACGGGCAGACUAGAGUGCGGUAGGGGAGACUGGAAUUCCUGGUGUAGCGGUGAAAUGCGCAGAUAUCAGGAAGAACACCCGUGGCUAAGGCGGCUCUCUAGUACGGUACUGACGCUGGGACGCGAAAGCGUGGGGAGCGAACAGG
rnacentral:rRNA from 1 species